rnacentral:rRNA from 1 species
UGCAUAUCAGGAAGAAAAGAAAACAACACCAACAGCGUUAGUAGCAGUGACGGAAGGGGCAAAAGCUCAAAUUUAAAAUYGAAAUCUUUCUUUGUGGCGAGGAGUAAUUUGAAGAAGGUUUCUUUGGGUGUGGCUCUCGUGUAUGUUUUUCCGAACAGCACGUCACAGAGGGGGAGAAUCCCCCCSGAUGAGAUGAUCCAACCUAGAGGCCCUCCUUACGAGAGUAGAGUUUUUAAUGCAGCUCCAAGCAGGUGGUAAAUUCCAUCGAAGGCUAACUCCUGUCGAGAGACCGAUAGCGAACAAGUUCUGCAAAGAAAAGUAGAAAAGCACUUUUAAAAAAAGAGGGAACAAAAGUACAAAUAGUUGAAAGAGAGGGAGGGCGCGACAUCCGCGGGGAUUUUUCGUCGGUUCCUUGGUGUGGGGGUGGCCUUYACAGUUUAUCGGGCCAGCAUCAGUUUGGGCGGCAGGAGAAGGGCGUUGGAAAGUGGCUUGUUUUCAGUGGUAUGGCCUGGCCCAGUGGAUAGUGCCAGCACCGAGGAAUGCGCUCCGGUACAUACCUAGGAUGUG